rnacentral:rRNA from 1 species
AUGACGCUGAGGCAUGAAAGCGUGGGGAGCAAACAGGAUUAGAUACCCUGGUAGUCCACGCCCUAAACGAUGCACACUAGUUGUUGCGAUGCUAGUCAUUGCAGUAAUGCACUUAACAGAUUAAGUGUGCCGCCUGGGGAGUACGGUCGCAAGAUUAAAACUCAAAGGAAUAGACGGGGACCCGCACAAGCGGUGGAGCAUGUGGUUUAAUUCGAAGAUACACGAAGAACCUUACCUGGCCUUGAUAUCCUAAGAAUCCUGUAGAGAUACGGGAGUGCUAGUCUACUAGAACUUAGAGACAGGUGCUGCACGGCUGUCGUCAGCUCGUGUCGUGAGAUGUUGGGUUAAGUCCCGCAACGAGCGCAACCCUCGUGAUUAGUUGCUAACAGUUCGGCUGAGCACUCUAAUCAGACUGCCUUCGUAAGGAGGAGGAAGGUGAGGACGACGUCAAGUCAUCAUGGCCCUUAUGGCCAGGGCUACACACGUGCUACAAUGGCUAGGACAAAGAGACGCGAUACUGCGAAGUGGAGCAAAUCUUAAAACCUAGUCUCAGUUCGGAUUGAAGUCUGCAACUCGACUUCAUGAAGCUGGAAUCGCUAGUAAUCGUAGAUCAGAUAUGCU